UCACAGGAUGAUGCCACCCCCACGGACAGGCAAGGAGCUCUCACCUUCCCCAGGACCCCAGCUGCCACCAGAGCUCCAGAUGGCCCUGCUCCUAACACCUGUAAGAUCCCUCCUCCUAUGUGACCUUUUGCCUGGCCACUUUCUCUAAAAUUCCAACUCCCUCACACUGCACAUUCCCUCACACUGCACAUUCUAUAUCCCCUUCCCCGCAGGAUUUUUCUUUUUUAGAGAUGGGGUCUCACUAUGGAUUUUUCUUCUUUGCCUUAAUUUUUAUCCAACACCCUACACAUUCUAUUUAUUUAUACCAUCGUGUCUGUCUUCCCCAGAGAAUGCCAGCUUCUUCAGGCCAGGGAUCUCUGCUUAUUCUGUUCACUACUGAAUUCCCAGUGCCCAGAACAGCACCCAACACGCAGUAAUGAGAUUGUUGACGAAUGGAAGACCGCACUGCUCCAUGGGGAUCUGGGAGAGGAAAGGGUUCCUCUCUAGGCAGCUGCUGAGGCCUCAUCGAUCCAGUAUCUACACAGGGGUCCAGUCCAGCUC
rnacentral:lncRNA from 1 species